GGAAAGGUCAAGGACAGCCCCCAGCAACAAGUGCCACCAGUGGGACAGUUCACAGAGGCCCAUCACGUGUGAAAUACCAACAACAGCUACCAGCAAGCUCUUAACUGUCUCCACUGUGUAGCCUUGGAGAAGUUACUUAACUCUCACGGUCUCAAUUUCCGCCUCUGUGAAACGGGUUGCUGUGAGGAUUCAGUAAGUAAAGGGCUUAGGGGAGGCCAGGAGCUGUAUAAACAGCAGGUAAGUAGGAGAUGUUACUGCGCCGAGCCGGGCACUGUUUAACCCUCACAACCAGCAUGACGUGGGGAUCAGUAAUGUUUCCACUUUACAGAGGAGUGAACAGGAGAAAGACGGAACAACUGAUUUUGCCCAAGGACACCGACUGGUAAAAAGUAAACGGUGACACUGGCUUUUGAGCCCCAGCAGUCUAAGCCAAAUCUGUGCUCUCAAGCCAGACUGAACCCAAAGAAUGAGAACUGGCCAGAAGGAGGUGUGUGGGUGGUCCCAGCUCUGCUGUUUACUGCCGGGGGGACUUCCAGCAAGUCCCUGGACCUCUGGGAGCCUCAGUGUCCUCAUCUGAAGAAAUGUGACAACUCUUGUCUUCUAAGGUUGUGCUGACAAUAAUGGCCUGAGACUGGGUCACCCAUAGGUAAACUGGGCCUGUGCUGGAGGUACCAGCAAUAUAGGGCUAUGAUGUUUUUUGGAAUAAUCUGACAAUCUAUAAAAAACAGCAUUGAAGUAGUCAACACGGGAAAAGUGUGGCUUUUGUUGGGAUGUUUUGGAAUUAGUAUUUUAGAGUUCAGGGUCAUUUGUACUUUUAAUCACUUGUUGCCAGGGGGAGGUGGGGCUUUUUGCUCCUGGGACACAAAGAUUUUAUUAGUGCUUAGGGCCUCCAAGGAUCUUACCUGGGGUUUGGGACAGGCUGUGGUUUUCAGUACCCAACAAAGUGUUGGUGCUUAAUAAGUGGUAGCUAUGAUUGUGAUGAAUAUUAUGAGAAAGCAUCCAGCAUCCCCCCCGGCACCCCCACCAAUUCUCGGCCUCUCAGAAUCCCAGGGCCAGGAAAGGCACUGAUUUCUCCCAGGGAGACCAGGACCAGUGUGGUCACUGCCCAGUCCAACUACUACCCCACCCCCUCAGCCCAGCUGUGAAAAACAAUCUUUGGAUGCCAAGGGACAGUCUCAAGUUUGUUGUGGGCUCAGGUGUCUGCCUUAAAGGGACAGACCCAUUUGUGUGAGAGCUGGCAAGAGCUUGGCUUGAUGAGGAGGCCAAGGUCAGGCAGGAGCCCAACCUGAGAGAAGCUGGGAGUGGGGGAGUAAGAGGCCCAAGCCCGCAGCCCAGGGGAGAGGUGAAGAGGUAGCCCCAGGGGGCCAGGAGUCUCCUUGGGUUCUCCCGGAUCUGCUCUCCUGUUACUUGGAACUCAGCUGUGGCCACACUUAAACUCCAACAGCUCCCUGGGAAAUAAGCCAAGGCCCAGUCUCUGACUCACCAAGGGCCAGUGGGUCCCCAGCUCACUUGCCCCUACUCUACCUGUUAUUCCUUUGUGCUGACACCAGCAAAUCUUUUGCAUGCCAACCUAACAAUUUUCAAAGACUUUUCACCCACUGGUCUGUUCUCGUAAGCACCCUGAGUAAGCAUCAUCCUCAUUUUGCAGAUGAAGAAAGUUAAUCAGAGAGGUCAGGACACUUGUCUAAGGUCACUCACUCAGCUAGAAGUGGUGUCCUGGUGAGAAAAGAGGGAUGGGGAAGGGAAAUUAACAAUUAUCAGGCUCCUGAUAUGAGCCGGGCCUUGCACCAGGGACUCAACAUAUGUUCUCUCAUCCUCGUAACAGCUCUGCAGAAGCAGUGAUUAUUACUUUUUACAAGGAGGAAAUGCAGGGUCAAAGGGGAAGGGUCAGGGGUGGGCGCUGGGGGGAAACCAUGUGCCAGCAUCCUAGUGUGUGAGUUCUGGACCACUCCACAGGGAUAUGAGGUCUGCUGUGCAGAGGGAGGCUCCCUGGGGGUGCGGGUGCCCCGGGAAGGGUUUUCCCAGGGCUGGGUCUCAUCUGGAAAAUAGUCUUAGCCUGGACUCCAUUCAUGCUUAGUCUGGACCACUCUGGCUUCCAGAAGGAGGCCUGGGCCAGGUUUGAGCUCGGAUGGGCCAUCCCCACUGGCCACAGGACACGGCUUUCAGUUUUGCUGUGACCCAGACAUCCCAACCCGGGUUGCCCACGGCACCCCUCUCUUGUCCCUGGCUGAUGGGUCUUGCUGGCCAGGGUGGGCCCUCGAUAUCCCCUUCACCCCAGGAUCAUGUUACCCCGGGCCUUCACGCUGCUCCCAGAACCCUCUUCCUUGAACCUUAAGCUGGGCCGCAGUUAUUCCCUGCCCAGGGCUCGUCUCCCCUUUCCUGAUGGAUCAUGUCCUGGAAAAGUGGCUGUGUGGCAAGGAAAGCUGCGAUCCGACCGUGAUUAAAGCUGCCCUCUGGGGAGAAGCUCUCCCAAGUGCCCUGGGUUUUGCGUUCAUUAGCUGGUUGAAUCUUCACAAACCUGCACCAGCUGACAGAGGAGGAGACUGAGGCUCAGAGCAGUGAAGCAACUUGUUCCAGUUCGCACGGAAGGAACUGAGCACAGAGCCAGGCCUGGCGGGCUCUUUCAAGCUACCAUCCUUCAAGGCCAGAAGUGACAGUAGAGAGAGCCCUGGGUCCCUGCAGGGAGGAGGCAACAUGGAAGGGAGGUGCAUGUACUUCACACCUUCUGGGCACGUACUUCACACGUACGCGUGUGAUGGUCACGAGCACGUACUUCACACCUUCUGGGCUGCUACUGGGGCAGGUGGCAAGGUGAGUCUUGGGCUUGGGUUUGCCCUGUAGCCUCUCCCUACUUCCUCCCCAGGGGCAGCAGGACCCCUUCAGGACCCCGGAGUUCAUGGGUUGGGUCCACCUCAAGCUUUGGGGCAGAUCUGAGAACUCGUGAUAGGCUGGUUCAGGGCAUCAAGCUCUGGCUCGGGUGCAGCAGGGAGAAGGAAAACCGGGUCAAUAUUUGCUGAUUUCCAGGCCCACCCAUGUCUCCGGCCAGGCACAUCCUGUCAGGCAGUGUGGGCUGACAUCUAGAUAACUCACCUCCUACCCAUUCCCACCCAGGUCUGCUUUCUCCAACGUUCCAGGCCUCGUUCCCUUUGUCCUGCUGGUCGAGGUGGGGCUGGGUCUCUGAGAGACUGCUGUCACAAGGAACAUUCCAGAUGCCAUUGGUCUCCUACAGCUCCAGGACUGAUGCGGGAAGUUGGGUGCGACGCACGAAGAAGACCAGAUUGAGGGUUCGGGGCCCACCAACCUGUCACAGAUACUGCCUGGGCCCGAGGGUGAGACUGUAAACCCUCUGAGGAUAAACAAAGCUGCUGUGAACACUCGCUGAGGUGCCAGUGCAGGUGUGCCGGUGUCCUGAACAAUUCCAGCACUGCAUCUGAUCCUUACAGCAUCACUUUCCAGGAGGGGAAACUGAGCCUCAGAGAGGCCAAGCGCCAUGACCAAGGAACACAGGGCUCUCAGGUUUCCAUAUUAUGUUUUGAGGACCAGUCUUCCUCACCCGUAGAAGAGGAAACAGUCACUUGUUACUGUGAAAGAAACAAGUGUUUGCAAAGAUCUUAGCUCUGGACCUAGUUCAUACCAAACCUGCAAGGAAAUAAAGAUGAAAAUA